CAGUCGCCACGGGAAUACGAAGGGUGCAAGCGUUAAUCGGAAUUACUGGGCGUAAAGCGUGCGUAGGCGGUGAGUUAAGUCUGCUGUGAAAUCCCCGGGCUCAACCUGGGAAUGGCAGUGGAUACUGGCUCGCUAGAGUGUGUCAGAGGAUGGUGGAAUUCCCGGUGUAGCGGUGAAAUGCGUAGAGAUCGGGAGGAACAUCAGUGGCGAAGGCGGCCAUCUGGGACAACACUGACGCUGAGGCACGAAAGCGUGGGGAGCAAACAGGAUUAGAUACCCCCGUAGUCCCUGUCUCUUAUAU
rnacentral:rRNA from 1 species